rnacentral:tRNA from 1 species
GCCCAGGUGGCGGAACAGGUAGACGCACAGGACUUAAAAUCCUGAGGGUUGAGAGACCCGUGCCAGUUCGAUUCUGGUUCUGGGCACCA